rnacentral:tRNA from 1 species
GGGGCUGUAGCUCAGUGGCACAGCACUUGCCUAGCACGUGUGAGGCUUUGGGUUCAAUCCCCAAGGACCCCU